UUCUCUCAUCCCCCAUCACUCUCUUCUUCUCCUUCUUCCUCGCCUUUACUUAUUUCACUGAUCUCUUCUCCAACGAAAAAAAGUUACAGUAAAUCAUUCCCACUUCCGCUAUCACCAAAACACCACCACUAUGAACUAAGUUUGCAGAAUUCUCUUGGUGAUUAAAGGUGUUUUUUACACAGAUCUGAUGGAUUUUUUUACAGGGAGGACAAGAACGAGUAGAAGUUGGUUUUAGUGGCGGUGGUGAUGAAGAAUACUCAAUCAUGGCUGAACAGAUCAAAAGCCUCCUGGAAAGGGAGGAAACCAAUAAUACUAGUACGACCGUUGCCACGGUGGGAGGGCCGAUCGAAGAAGAAUAUGAAGAUGUGGUUGUCUGUGAUUAUUUUUGUCCCGUUUAAGAAAAGUGGCCAUAUAAAGGUCCUCCCUCGCUUCGCUCGGUCGGGCCAACAAGAAUGCUGGUUUGGGAUUCAAGACUUCCAAAGAGGCCAUUGAAGGUCUGCUCAUAGUGCUCACUCAAGCCUCUUCAAUCCUUCUAUCUCCUUUACAAAUUGUGUGACAAUCGUAUGUUAGGUGACGAGUUCUGAAUUUUGCAUCUCCUUUACAAAUUGUGUGACAAGAUUGAAGAUGCUAUCCUUGACUAAUUUAUAAUCUGAUAAUUGUGCAUGAAUGGCUAAGUAGAUCAAGACGUUGGUCGUAUUGAAUUCAAAGUUUCUUUCAACAAUAUUAAAAAUGACUAAUACAGAUAGAAAGUCUUUCUCCUUCAAUACCGCAUUGCAUACAUAUUUUAGUGCUUCUGUUACAGGGGCCUUAGUGGAAGCUCGCCUAGGUUAUAGGACGCUGAACAAGGAUCCAGACCCUAUGGCUUCGUUUAGUCUCGCUUACUUGUUCAUAUUGUUUCCUUUUCAGGGUAUAUGCUCUCUACGUGACACAGAACAAGAUGAUAACAAGUGGCCCCUUGUCAUGACUAGUUGGAAGGUACAUGGAUGGUAUCGAUAAGUCUGCACUAGAUUGUCUCUCCCUAGAUUUGCAAUGUUGUUCCCAAGCAUUGGUAACUUGUCAAUAGUUUAUCCUACAAGAAUGUUGAUUUGGGAUUCAAGACUCCUGGAGAAGCUACUGAAGGUUUGUGAUAACUCUUGUAUUGGAUAGCUUGGAUUCUUAGAACGGUAUGUUGUUAUGAAAUUGUUGGCUCAAUUCAUCAUCCGGAAGGAUCUCAUUUUGCUGGUUGCAUUUGUCUUUAUGAACCUUAGAACUUAAAUAUAUGACUUGUAUGAAUUCGGGACUUGAUCAUUUAUUUUCUUUUGUGAUUUUGAACCCGACUGUAAAUUGAAUUCAGUUAUGAAUUGUGUAACAAAUACAAUGAUUUUUAUAUAAUGGCCAUUUGAG